rnacentral:lncRNA from 1 species
AGAGGUUAUGGUCCUCAGCCCAUAGAAAUGGGUGCAUCCGCUUGGAAGCUCCACCUUCUAAGGCCAUGGUGAGUGCUCUGUCCACUCUGGUGGUCUCUGCUUUAUUUUCAGUGGGGAUAUUUUUUAAUGAAGGCCCUCCAGUGAAUUUUCUUUGUCCUCAUGUUCAACACUUACUGUGUUGAAUUGAAUACUUGGCACUUUUUCACAUUUUAGAAAGAUAUUCUGCAUUAUAGAAUGGAUUACACAUUGGUAUUACAAUAUCUAAACUUUGAUAGUUCUAUAAAUGCUUUAGAAGGAAUAUAUUUGGGUCACAGGUAAAGUCCAUUAAAGAGCAGAAAGUUAGUACAUUAUUCUGUCCUUCUGUUCAUCGUC